UACGGAGGGGACUAGCGUUGUUCGGAAUUACUGGGCGUAAAGCGCACGUAGGCGGAUUUGUAAGUCAGGGGUGAAAUCCCGGGGCUCAACCUCGGAACUGCCUUUGAUACUGCAAAUCUCGAGUCCGGAAGAGGUGAGUGGAAUUCCACGUGUAGCAGUGAAAUGCGUAGAGAUGUGGAGGAACACCGAUGGCGAAGGCAGCCCCCUGGGCUAACACUGACGCUCAUGCACGAAAGCGUGGGGAGCAAACAGG
rnacentral:rRNA from 1 species